UUUAAAACAUUUUAAUAUUUUAAAUGUAUUGUCAUAGUUCAGACAUGAUCUGUUGGACUUUGGUAUCAUUCUUGGCACCAGUUUGUUACGUGUAAGAAGCUGAAAUUGUGCAGGUUCAAACAAAACAUUGGCUGCCCCCAGUCCUCAGGUCCCACUGUUGUGAUCCAUGCCAAAGCAGGAGAUCAAAUCACUCUGGUGAUACUGUACCGAGAAGCUCUAGAGGGAGAACAGCAUUCAUCCAUCCAUCUGCCAGCCAGUUAUCCUCCACAGGGUGACAAGUGCCAGUCAUUAAAAUGUCAGCUUCCUGCUCAAUAUGGGGAGGGAAACAGGAAGCGGUUGACCGAUGACUUCUGCUUCACACACAGACCUUCCUCAGCCGGCCCACAAAGCCUCUGCCGUCACACGGUGCACUGGCCAGCGGUGGAAAAAUACAGCGUUCGUCUUAAAAAUAGAUUGGCGCCAUUCAGCAGGACUGGAAGCAGCUUGGCUACAAGGUACUGGAGGAGAUUAAAGCACCCUUGACUGACAUGCCUGUACUUGGGAACUGAUGCUCUGUGGUUACGUCACAUUUUGUUCGGACGUUGAUUCCCAUCUUUAACGAGAGAAAAUAAACAAUAAAGUCAAA